GCAGUUCUUAAUUGUGGCCCGAGUCCCUGUGGGUUUCUUUUCCUCCCACAAAGCUGCUCACCCUGGAGGAGCACAGGCAUGGACACGAGGCCACAGCAGCUCUCCCGUUGUGUCAGACAGCAGAGACAUUGGAGUGGAAGAAGGCCCCACAGAUUUACAGGGGAAAUUGCACAGUCAUUGACUUUCCAUCCAAAAGAUGAAGAGGAGUUUCUUUUGCAGCACCUAUCAUAAUUGUUUGGGUAUUAAGUCUACAGACUGCACUGAAUGUUUGAAAGUAGGCAACCGGUGUAUUUGUAUCAGAUGAAAAGCAGUGGAAAAAAACCCCAAGCCCACAUCAUUCUGAAGAUGGAACCAAGCAUUCCACUUCUGGAAAUGCUACGAGAUGCCUACAGAAAAAGGUCUUCUGGUUCUUAUAGACAGUCUCUUCAAGGCCCCCCACCCCUGAGGAGGGAAAACUCCAGCACGUGGAAAUUGGCCUCAUGUCAUGUAAAUGCAGCUCCUACAGAUCGACAAAGAGCCUCCUCAAAGGACAAAGAAACUACAGUUUGUAAUUCAUUGCCUCUUCAUUUGUGUAAAGUGAUGCCUGUGUCUCUAAUGUUUUUCAGGAGAAAUAUACUUUGCAGGAUAUCAGCUACUAAACAUAUUCACUGUAAUUCUGUCCUUCCCAGUGUU